rnacentral:lncRNA from 1 species
AAAAUAAAAAAAAAUAAUAGUUAAAGAUAUAUAACGUGAAUAGCAUGCAUAUCGAUCAAGCUCAUUGAAAAAUAUAUACCUGGCAUUUUUUUGCAGGAGCGAGCGGCGGGCGGACUGCGUAGGAUGCGCGGUGAAGACGAGGUCGACGGUCUGGUUCUUGAGCGCCUCGAACACCUCCUCGGGGGACUUGCCGACCUCGGACACGAGGCGCUUGAGCGUCUCCUCGAUGUCGGACUCGGUGGUGGCGGAGCCCUCGUCGGCGAACCCACCUUUCUUGAGCUUGCUGUUGCGGCGGCGGUGCGCGAUCUGCACCUCCUCGGCCAGGUUGGCGAGGUUGAGCAUGUGCAGGAUGGAGCUCGCCACGAGGAUGGCGUCGGCGGGGGCCAGCCCCGUGAGCUUGGCGCCGAGCUCGCCCAGCUUCGUCGUGUCUCCUUUGCCCUCGUAGUCGGCUGAGACCUCGUAGCACUCCUGGACCUGCAUGCAUGCAUUACAGUAAGCACUGGCGGGGAGACGUACGAGCAGUGCCGCGCGCAGGCGGCAACCGGUCGAAGAAGAAAUGGGCGGCGGCAGUGGUUAGUUACAAAUUCGCGAAGGCUGGGCCCGUGGAG